GACGGAGGAGGCAAGCGUUGUUCGGAAUUAUUGGGCGUAAAGGGCUCGUAGGCGGAUCGGCAAGUCUGACGUGAAAUCUCCACCGCUCACCGGGGAGAGGUCGUUGGAUACUACCGAUCUGGAGUUUGGCAGAGGGUCGUGGAAUUCCGGGUGUAGCGGUGGAAUGCGUAGAUAUCCGGAAGAACACCGGUGGCGAAGGCGGCGACCUGGGCCAAAACUGACGCUGAGGAGAGAAAGCCAGGGGAGCAAACGGG
rnacentral:rRNA from 1 species